GACGAACGCUGGCGGCGUGCUUAACACAUGCAAGUCGAACGCUGAAGCUCAGCUUUUGUUGGGUGGAUGAGUGGCGAACGGGUGAGUAACACGUUAGUAACCUGCCUCCUUCUUUGGGAUAACGCCCGGAAACGGGUGCUAAUACUGGAUAUUCACUGGUCUUCGCAUGGGUGUUGGUGGAAAGGGUUUUUCUGGUGGGGGAUGGGCUCGCGUCCUAUCAGCUUGUUGGUGGGGUGAUGGCCUACCAAGGCUUUGACGGGUAGUCGGGAUGAGAAGGUGACCGGUCACGUUGGGAAGGAGAUACGGCCCAGACUCCUACGGGAGGCAGCAGUGGGGAAUAUUGCACGAGGGGCGCAAGACUGAUGCAGCGACGCGGCGUGAGGGAUGGAGGCCUUCGGGGUGUGAAAAUCUUUCGCUCAAGGUCAAGCCGCAACAAUGGUUGUGGUGAGGGUAGUGGGUAAAGAAGCGCCGGCUAACUACGUG
rnacentral:rRNA from 1 species